rnacentral:rRNA from 1 species
CCUACGGGAGGCAGCAGUGAGGAAUAUUGGUCAAUGGGGGGAACCCUGAACCAGCAACGCCGCGUGAGGGAGGACGGUUUUCGGAUUGUAAACCUCUGUCCUCUGUGGAGCUAAUGACGGUAGCAGAGGAGGAAGCUCCGGCUAACUACGUGCCGGCAGCCGCGGUAAUGCGUAGGGAGCCAGCGUUGUCCGGAUUUACUGGGUGUAAAGGGUGCGUAGGCGGCUUUGCAAGUCAGAAGUGAAAUCCAUGGGCUUAACCCAUGAACUGCGUUUGAAACUGCAGAGCUUGAGUGGAGUAGAGGUAGGCGGAAUUCCCGGUGUAGCGGUGAAAUGCGUAGAGAUCGGGAGGAACACCAGUGGCGAAGGCGGCCUGCCGGGCCCUAACUGACGCUGAGGCACGAAAGCGUGGGUAGCAAACAGGAUUAGAUACCCGAGUAGUC